rnacentral:rRNA from 1 species
CCCAGACUCCUACGGGAGGCAGCAGUGGGGAAUAUUGGGCAAUGGGCGCAAGCCUGACCCAGCAAUGCCGCGUGAAGGAAGAAGGCCUUCGGGUUGUAAACUUCUUUUAUCAGGGACGAAGGAUGUGACGGUACCUGAUGAAUAAGCUCCGGCUAACUCCGUGCCAGCAGCCGCGGUAAUACGGAGGAUCCGAGCGUUAUCCGGAUUCAUUGGGUUUAAAGGGUGCGUAGGUUGUUUUAUAAGUUAGCGGUGAAAUACCGAUGCUCAACAUCGGGGCUGCCGCUAAUACUGUAGGACUAGAGAUCGGAUGCAGCAGGCGGAAUGUGUAGUGUAGCGGUGAAAUGCAUAGAUAUUACACAGAACACCGAUUGCGAGGGCAGCUUGCUAGGCCGGAUCUGACACUGAUGCACGAAAGCGUGGGGAUCGAACAGGAUUAGAUACCCCGGUAAU